AUGGCUCAGAGGGUAAAGCAUCUGCCUGCAACGCGGGAGACCUGGGUUCGAUCCCUGGU
rnacentral:tRNA from 1 species